rnacentral:rRNA from 1 species
AGAGUUUGAUCCUGGCUCAGAUUGAACGCUUCCGGCAGGCCUAACACAUGCAAGUCGAGCGGUAGCACAGAGAGCUUGCUCUCGGGUGACGAGCGGCGGACGGGUGAGUAAUGUCUGGGAAACUGCCUGAUGGAGGGGGAUAACUACUGGAAACGGUAGCUAAUACCGCAUAACGUCGCAAGACCAAAGUGGGGGACCUUCGGGCCUCAUGCCAUCAGAUGUGCCCAGAUGGGAUUAGCUAGUAGGUGGGGUAAUGGCUCACCUAGGCGACGAUCCCUAGCUGGUCUGAGAGGAUGACCAGCCACACUGGAACUGAGACACGGUCCAGACUCCUACGGGAGGCAGCAGUGGGGAAUAUUGCACAAUGGGCGCAAGCCUGAUGCAGCCAUGCCGCGUGUAUGAAGAAGGCCUUCGGGUUGUAAAGUCCUUUCAGCGAGGAGGAAGGCAUUAAGGUUAAUAACCUUAGUGAUUGACGUUACUCGCAGAAGAAGCACCGGCUAACUCCGUGCCAGCAGCCGCGGUAAUAC